UCUCUUAUAAUCACCAGUAAAGAAAGUAUCUGAAGAGACCACUGAAGAUUAUGCACCACCAUUUCAUGCAUUGAAGAGAAGAAGCUUAAACCUGGAGGAAAAUCAUACACCUGCAGUUCAUGAAUUGGAGAAAAGGAGCCUAAACCUUAAGGAAAGAGAUGAGAAAUCAUCUGGAUUGUCAGCUCCAGCACUAACCAAUGGAAGAAGAAUUUAUUUAGGAGGAGGAAAAUAAAACUGAAUGAAAUUUCAUGAAAAUGAUGAAAUGAUGAGAUGUUUCAAAAAUAAAGUAUUAUUGGUAAAA